rnacentral:lncRNA from 1 species
GUGCUGAGAAGCUACGGAGCCCAUGUGAAACAGUGAAGAAACAGCCACCUUCUGUAUGACCUUCUGCAGAGUCUCCGGGAGCUCACCAAGGUUGUCUUCUGCUCAGUCCUGGUGUCAGUGGGCUGAAGAGCGAAGUCAGUUUCAGGGUUGAUAGCUCUCUAAUCCUAUCACAAGCAUGACAAAGCACUUACUCAAGGAGAUGGAAGCCAGAGGCUGGGGUCUGGCUCUGGCCUGGAGGGAGGGAAUUCUGCUGUUCUAUCAAGGUGGUGUAGACUCUUAGAAUGGCAGGAUUGGUCAUUGAGAUAGACACAUCAGGGAUUGAGAACGAGGAAUAACGAUGGGAUUGGUAUAGAGAAAACAAUAAACUAAACCCAAAUAAAUAACUAAGUAAAAAACCCCCAACCAACCAAACAAAAGUCAGAGCCAGUGCAGCAUCCCUGAAGGAAUCCGGGCAAGCCUGGGGUGACCUUUAAGCUUCCUUCCAACAAACAUCACAGUGCUUUGUCAUGUGGCAGGUGGAGCCCCUUCCAUUCCUAAGGAUGUCAGAUGCAUUCUGGGCAACCCUCCACAUGGAUUCGUUUGGAAAUAUUGCUAGUUCUUCGUGGAGAUUGUGUCCAAGGAAGCAGCAUCGAUGCUAAGUGGAUCUUGGAACUGCUUCUCAGAGGAAAGUGUAUUCCAAAAUAAGGGCAGGAGUUCACCGAAAGGCCAUCGUAAUGGAAGCCAGUAAGAGCCAGCCCAAG